UGCUGACAGGCACCACAGGGGGCAGCUGCUUUGUGAUCUCAGCCACCUCCUGGCGCUGGAUGGGGGUGUCCUCACGCUCCUCCUUGGUGGCGCCCAUCUUGGCAGGGGUGAAGAUGGGCAGCGGCAGUACCCGCUGGUAGGGCAGCUGGUACUCCUGCAGCCCACGGCCGAGGAUGCCCAUCCGCAUCAUCAGCCAGGGCGAGCGCUG
rnacentral:lncRNA from 1 species